rnacentral:rRNA from 1 species
CUACGGGAGGCUCCAGUGAGGAAUUUUGCGCAAUGGGGGAAACCCUGACGCAGCAACGCCGCGUGAGUGAUGAAGGCCUUCGGGUCGUAAAGCUCUGUCAAGUGGGAAGAACCCACCCUGUGCUAAUAUCACAGGGUGCUGACGGUACCACUGAAGGAAGCACCGGCUAACUCCGUGCCAGCAGCCGCGGUAAUACGGAGGGUGCAAGCGUUAUUCGGAAUUACUGGGCGUAAAGGGCGCGUAGGCGGCUUUUUAAGUCAGAUGUGAAAUCCCGGGGCUCAACCCCGGAAGUGCAUCUGAAACUAAGAAGCUUGAGUAUGGGAGAGGGAAGUGGAAUUCCUGGUGUAGAGGUGAAAUUCGUAGAUAUCAGGAGGAACACCGGUGGCGAAGGCGACUUCCUGGACCAAUACUGACGCUGAGGCGCGAAGGCGUGGGGAGCAAACAGGAUUAGAUACCCCAGUAGUC